rnacentral:rRNA from 1 species
AGGACGAACGCUGGCGGCGUGCCUAAUACAUGCAAGUCGAACGGUCUUUCUAUGGAAGCUUGCUUCCACUGAGAAGAUAGUGGCGAACGGGUGAGUAACACGUGGGUAACCUGCCCAUAAGAGGGGGGAUAACAUCCGGAAACGGGUGCUAAUACCGCAUAGUUUUCUUGAUCGCAUGAUUGAGAAAGGAAAGACGGCCUUUGUGCUGUCGCUUAUGGAUGGACCCGCGGCGUAUUAGUUAGUUGGUGAGGUAAUGGCUCACCAAGACGAUGAUACGUAGCCGACCUGAGAGGGUGAUCGGCCACAUUGGGACUGAGACACGGCCCAAACUCCUACGGGAGGCAGCAGUAGGGAAUCUUCCGCAAUGGACGAAAGUCUGACGGAGCAACGCCGCGUGAGUGAAAGAAGGUUUUCGGAUCGUAAAACUCUGUUGUCAGAGAAGAACAAGUUGGAGAGUAACUGCUCCAGCCUUGACGGUAUCUGACCAGAAAGCCACGGCUAACUACGUGCCAGCCGCCGC